rnacentral:rRNA from 1 species
AUUGAACGCUGGCGGAAUGCUUUACACAUGCAAGUCGAACGGUAGAGGGGGCAACCCCUUCGAGAGUGGCGAACGGGUGAGUAAUAUAUCGGAACGUGCCCAGUCGUGGGGAUAACGUAGCGAAAGUUACGCUAAUACCGCAUACGAUCUACGGAUGAAAGCGGGGGGACUCGCAAGAGCCUCGCGCGAUUGGAGCGGCCGAUAUCAGAUUAGGUAGUUGGUGAGGUAAAGGCUCACCAAGCCGACGAUCUGUAGCUGGUCUGAGAGGACGACCAGCCACACUGGGACUGAGACACGGCCCAGACUCCUACGGGAGGCAGCAGUGGGGAAUUUUGGACAAUGGGCGCAAGCCUGAUCCAGCAAUGCCGCGUGCAGGAUGAAGGCCUUCGGGUUGUAAACGUGCUUUUGUACGGAACGAAACGGUGAGCUCUAAUACAGUUUGCU